rnacentral:lncRNA from 1 species
AAAAACAGUGGCUGCAUCUCACCCAUGUCGAUUAAACGACACCUUUUAAGACAUUAAUUCAGUUCGAUCUAAGGGCCAGCACACCCAGUUAAAACAGUACAAUCCACACACACAAAAGAUGCUACAAACAGUUUGCGUACCUUGCAACUCAGCACCAAAACUGGAGCAGACUAAAGUGAGCUAACUACUAAACCAAUGAGAAACAGGCACUACGACAUCAUCAGUGACUUGAGCGACCGGGCUUUCACAGGCUUCCUCCACCUCUUCUUGAACGGGCCCUUCCUCUUGGUGUCGUGGGGUUGUUCGUCAUUGCAGCCAAGCGCUUCGUCAUCGCUCCUCUCCUCGUCCCAGCCUGCGAUCCCGGUGGUGCCGUCGUUGCCCGUAGGCUUGUCGACCACACGUGCUGAUGCCGCUGCUUCUUGAUGGUCUGUGUUAUCAGCUUGUGCCUGACCUGCACUAAAAUUAAGUUCCAUUUCAGGCUGUGGCUCCUCUUUCGGUGGUUUAGCAACCACUGAAAAUUCCGGCACGACAUCAUCACUGCUCUCCUUGUCACACGCUGGCAUCCCAGCGGUGCCAGGCUCGUCAACAAUGUUUGCUGAUCGCGGGAGCACCACUUGAUGAUCGGAUUCAUUCGCUGCUUGUACCUGGCCUGCACUAAAAUCAAGUUGCAUUUUGUCUGGUGUCUCCUCUUUCAGUGGCUCAGCAGGCAGUGGAGGUUCCAGCACGUUGUCGCUGCUUAACGUGCGGCGCCUCUUGGUGCCGGGGCCAAACCCCGCAUAGUAGUAGAACCCCUCGCCUAGGUCGAUGUCAGGCCUCUUCCUACGUGGCUUGUCGCUGACGGGGGGCUUCUGAUCCGACUGGUACGAGCAAUAGGAGUUGGGCUGACUCACAGGCCGCCGGCAGCACCACCUCUUGCCGUCAUUCUUCCUGCACGUCCACACUCCCUUCUUCACAUUGAGCCCCUUAUAUGUCUUCUGCCUGCUCUGAUUCUUCAUGCUCUCCAUCUUUUCCGCAGCUUUGUGCAGUUUCAAGAUGACCCCGUCAACCAUAUCUACGGCCAAGUCUUCCUCCUCCUUGAUGGAGCUGGCAGGCAUGGUGAUGCUUGCUGGGAAGAGCCAGCUACCUCGCCAGGAAACACUAAUGAAGCAAGUCUGCACGAAGAGCUUCUCCACCUGAAUGAGAUGGUAAUUCGGGAAAUACACGUCAACCAACGAAAUGAGCUAGCGGUUACUGCUAUCGCUGAACUGAAAUGGGGGGCAGGUAGAUAGGGCUGGCGACCUACGGAGGACAUUGCAGCCCGAUUAGCCGCCGCGCCGCCGCCAGCCGGCCAGAGACUACUGCGAGGGAGCUAACUGACGCGCCCUAGGCGGCUAGACCUCGACGCGGCUCCGCUCCACGCGCGCGCGGGGGGACGGAACCCUAGCAACAUGCCCCAGACCGAAAGGGAACCUUCGCGGAGUGAAGCAUGCUAGCUGCUACACAGCGGCUCGGGAAUGCGCAAUACGCGGCCAGGCAGGAGAGCACGGAGCGAGGGGGUGGGGGUGGGGUGGGGUGGUGAGGAAAUUACCUGGGGAUCCGAGAGGUCGAGCUGGGCCAUGAGGUCCCAUGGCGACCGGCUGAGCUCGCAGCAGGGCUCCCCGCCGGAGGAGGUCUUGGGCCCCACGGACCCGGCGCCGGAUUCGUGGGCUGGGGUUUGCGGCGGCGACGGGGGCGGGGGCGGCUCCAAUCCGUGGAGCUCGAAUCGGGGCGGCUCCGGGCAGUAGGAGGGGGCGGCGGCGGUGGAGCCCAGCAGGCGGGAGGCGGACCUGCGGAUCCGCAUGGGGGCUGGGGAGGGGCGGCGAGCGAGCGGAACUCGGGAUCUGAGGAUGGCUAGCGAGGUAGGGUUUGAGAUUUGUGAGGGAGUAAACAGGAAGGAAGGGGGAUGUCGAAACGAGACGAGGCCACAGGACGGAGAGGCGACUAGUGUGAGCACGAGCUGGGGCCCACUCGUCAGUGAAGCCGCCAAGUGAGUGGUGGCACGUGUACGGCCUGAACUUUAUGCUCACGGCAAGCUAGUGUGCGGUGGUUGUGCUUCGAAUCAUAUAUACUUCCUCCGUUCCUAUAAAUAUAAGUCUUUCUUAGAGAUUCCAAUAUAAACUACAUAUACGAAAUAAAAUGAAAGAAUCUAUUUUGGGCCAUAGUUUAAAAAAAAAUGUCGUCCACGGUCAUUAAACUUGUGCUGGGACUCACUUUAGUAUCUGUAUUUCAAAAUACCUGAAAUACGGUCCCUAAACUUGUCAAAGGGACUCACGUAUUGUCCCAAAUACAAUUUUAUGUACAUAUGUGCUGGUUUGGCACCGGUCCAUUCGAUCCACCUAGCGUUGACUGGACACAUUGUCGGAACAAUAUUAAUACUUAGACAUUCGAGGGUUCUCUUUUUUUGCAAGAUCGACAAAAGUAAAACCCUAGCGACCGGACCACACCCCUCUUCUCCAUCACUCUCUCUCCCUCGCUCUCUUCUUCCUUAUUUCUUCAUUGCCGCCGAGGUGGUCACCUGGACCUCGUCGGCGGGAGCGAGCGCGGCGACGACUCCAUGAGCUCUUCAUCGGAUGCGGAGCCGCCGCCAUCUGCGUCGUUUGGGAGGGGCUUUCGUGACGUCCGUCUCGCUCCCACGCGUCGUCUGCCUGAUACGUCACGGCCCCUAUACGGUGCGUCCUUCUAUGCUUGAUCCGUCUCUUUCUUCUUCGGGGAUGACUGCGGGUAGGGUUCAAUUGCACAAGUGUGUUAGGGUUUAGGCUCCUUCUCCCUUUUUGUCACGGGUUGAGGGGUCUGCAUGGUAGGGUUUUAGCUGUGGCAUUCAAAUUAGUGGUAGAGCUAAAUUAGGGUUACAUGGGGGGUUUGCAAGUGAAAUCGGAGGGAUGUUGUGGUGAAAUCCAAGGGUAUGGCAACUAGGCCAAAUAUGCUUGCUUUAAUAUUUGCUUGGUGCCCUUGUGUUGAUCAUAUGGCCUUUUGUUUAUCAGAUGCCCUUGUGUUUGUCAGAUGCGCCCAAAAAUCCAUGCUUUUGGAUGUGAGAGAUCAUAUAUUUGUUUAGUGGAGGUCCAAAAACCAUGCUUUUGGUCCAAUAACUUGUCUGAAUUUAGUACUGUCUGAACCUGCCUGAAUUUUGCUUGCCUGAACAUUGUCACUUUGCUUGUCUGAACAUUGUCAUUUGUUUUUUGUAGGACCCCCUAAACAACCACUUCUCUGUUGAGUUCAUACAUGGUGGCUAUUUCCUUUGUGCAGGCAAGCAUAGGGGUUACCACAAAGACCAUUCCAUUUGGUUUGACUACUGUGACAUAGAUAAUUGGACACGUAAUGUUGUUGGCGGUUUAGUGGACUAAAUAGGGUAUGAGUUUUAGGGCAGGAUUAGGGUGUACUGGGGUGUUCCUCGAUUGACAGUGUAUAAGAAUGGAUUAAGACUGAUUAAGAUAGGGGCAAUACUAAGACAGAGAACAUGAAGGAUUGUGCUCUUAAUGGGAAUCGGUUCUAAUAGUUAUUUCUAGAUCAUGAUGAGAGCAUGAGAUCAUUUGUUUCGCCUGUUCUUAUUCAUUUUGAUGAUGAAGGACCUCGAGUGGUCAAAUUUAGUGGCAUUAGAGCAAAUUAGGAGCAAGUGCAAGAAGAGUGGGCAGUGCAAGAGCAAGAGGAGCAGGCUGAGCAAGAUGAGCACGCUGAGCAAGAUGAGCAGUCUGAGCAAGAUCAAGAGGAUGAGGCAGCACAAGGUCAAGUUGAAGAUGCACUAUUAGAUAGUGUGGAAGAGUCAGAUGGGGAGUACAUACCAGGACCACCUCAACCAGGAGAGUAUGUCCAUAUAUUUUAGUUUGAGUAUAGGGGAAGAAAAAUCUGUAAGGUUCUGAAAAUGGAUGCAGUUGAUGAUGUGGGAAUUCAUUCUUUAGAUGAGGAUUACAAUCAAUAGCUUGUUGACUCGGAUAUUGAUCUACGAGAUGGGGAUUGAUACGUCUCCAACGUAUAUAUAAUUUUUGAUUGCUCCAUGCUAUGUUAUGUUCUGUUUUGGACAUUAUUGGGCUUUAUUAUUCACUUUUAUAUUAUUUUUGGGACUAACCUAUUAACCGGAGGCCCAACCCAGAAAUAUAUUUUUGGGAAUUGCUGUUUUUUGCCUAUUUCAAAGUUUCGCAGAAAAAGAAUAUCAAACGGAGUCCAAACGGAAUGAAACCUUCGGGAACGUGAUUUUCGGAACGAACAUGAUCCAGAGGACUUGGACCCUACAUCAAGAAAUCAAGCAGGAAGCCACGAGGAAGGGGGCGCGUCUACCCCCCUGGGCGCGCCCUCCACCCUCGUGGGCCCCACAUUGCUCCACCGACGUACUCCUUCCUCCUAUAUAUACCUACGUACCCCCAAACGGUCAGAUACGGAGCCAAAAACCUAAUUCCACCGCCGCAACCUUCUGUACCCACGAGAUCCCAUCUUGGGGCCUGUUCCGGAGCUCCGCCGGAGGAGGCAUCGAUCACGGAGGGCUUCUACAUCAACACCAUAGCCUCUCCGAUGAAGUGUGAGUAGUUUACCUCAGACCUUCGAGUCCAUAGUUAUUAGCUAGAUGGCUUCUUCUCUCUUUUUUGAUCUCAAUACAAUGUUCUCCCCCUCUCUUGUGGAGAUCUAUUCGAUGUAAUCUUCUUUUGCGGUGUGUUUGUUGAGACCGAUGAAUUGUGGGUUUAUGAUCAAGUUUAUCUAUGAACAAUAUUUGAAUCUUCUGAAUUCUUUUAUGUACGAUUGGUUAUCUUUGCAAGUCUCUUCGAAUUAUCGGUUUGGUUUGGCCUACUAGAUUGAUCUUUCUUGUAAUGGGAGAAGUGCUUAGCUUUGGGUUCAAUCUUGCGGUGUCCUUUCCCAGUGACAGUAGGGGCAGCAAGGCACGUAUUGUAUUGUUGCCAUCGAGGAUAACAAGAUGGGGUUUUUAUCAUAUUGCAUGAAUUUAUCCCUCUACAUCAUGUCAUCUUGCUUAAAGCGUUACUCUGUUCUUAUGAACUUAAUACUCUAGAUGCAUGCUGGAUAGCGGUCGAUGUGUGGAGUAAUAGUAGUAGAUGCAGGCAGGAGACGGUCUACUUGUCUCGGACGUGAUGCCUAUAUACAUUAUCAUACCUAGAUAUUCUCAUAACUAUGCUCAAUUAUGUCAAUUGCUCAACAGUAAUUUGUUCACCCACCGUAAAAUAUUUAUGCUCUUGAGAGAAGCCACUAGUGAAACCUAUGGCCCCCGGGUCUAUCUUCCAUCAUAUUAAUCUUCCAACACUUAGCUAUUUCCAUUGCCUUUUUAUUUUGUUUACUUUACUUUGCAUCUUUAUCACAAAAAUACCAAAAAUAUUAUCUUAUCAUAUCCAUCAGAUCUCACUCUCGUAAGUGACCGUGUAGGGAUUGACAACCCCUUAUCGUGUUGGUUGCGAGGAUUUAUUUGUUUGUGUAGGUGCGAGGGACUCGCGCGUAGCCUCCUACUGGAUUGAUACCUUGGUUCUCAAAAACUGAGGGAAAUACUUACGCUACUUUGCUGCAUCACCCUUUCCUCUUCAAGGGAAAACCAAGGCAGUGCUCAAGAGGUAGCAAGAAGGAUUUCGGGCGCCGUUGCCGCAGAGGUCUACGCAAAAGUCAACAUACCAAGUACCCAUCACAAACCCUUAUCUCCCGCAUUACAUUAUUUGCCAUUUGCCUCUCGUUUUCCUCUCCCCCACUUCACCCUUGCCGUUUUAUUCGCCCUCUCUUUUCCGUUUGCCUCUUUUUUCCCGUCUCUUGUUUGCUCGUGUGUUGGAUUGCUUGCUUGCCACGAUGGCUCUACCUAAAAUUGGUGAUCUUCACCUUAAAAGGUUGGAAGAGAUCGAAGGCAAUGUCAGGAGUUUUAUGGUCUUACAAUUUGAGCAUAAUAAUUUCUUAUGAAACGAGCUUAAGGAACAAAAAAGCUUUAUGAGUUAUAUGAAUAAAGGGCUCCAUGAUAUGUCUAAAGAAUUUGAUGGUUUGAGAUCCCAAAUUGCUCACCUUGAGAAGUUAAUAGCUGAAAUAUCGGAUAAGCAGGCCACCUUAGUUAAUAAGAUGGCCGCUAAGCCGGAAAACUUUGAAAACAAAGAUGAAGAUCUAAAAGUUAUUGAUGUAUCCCCUAUUAAAUCUUUGUUUUGCAAUAUGAAUCUUGAUAAUGAUGGGACUGAAUAUGAUCCACCUUUACCUAGAAGGCGUUUCAAAACUUCGGAGUUUUUAGAUGUUCAUGCUAAAAUUGAUAAAAGUGGGAUGGAAGAAAUCAAAACAUUAGAUGUUAAUGAACCCACUAUUUUGGAUUUCAAGGAAUUUAAUUAUGAUAAUUGCUCUUUGAUAGAGUGUAUUUCCUUGUUGCAAUCCGUGCUAAAUUCUCCUCAUGCUUAUAGUCAAAAUAAAGCUUUUACCAAACAUAUCGUUGAUGCUUUGAUGCAAUCUUAUGAAGAAAAACUUGAGUUGGAAGUUUCUAUCCCUAGGAAACUUUAUGAUGAGUGGGAACCUACUAUUAAAAUUAAAAUUAAAGAUCAUGAAUACUAUGCUUUGUGUGAUUUGGGUGCUAGUGUUUCCACGAUUCCAAAAACUUUGUGUGAUUUGCUAGGUUUUCGAGAUUUUGAUGAUUGCUCUUUAAAUUUGCACCUUGCGGAUUCCACUAUUAAAAAACCUAUGGGAAGAAUUAAUGACGCUCUUAUUGUUGCAAAUAGGAACUAUGUGCCCGUAGAUUUUAUCGUUCUUGAUAUAGAUUGCAAUCCUUCAUGUCCUAUUAUUCUUGGUAGACCUUUCCUUAAAACGAUUGGUGCAAUUAUUGAUAUGAAGGAAGGGAAUAUUAGAUUCCAAUUUCCAUUAAAGAAAGGCAUGGAACACUUCCCUAGGAAGAAAAUAAAAUUACCAUAUGAAUCUAUCAUGAGAGCCACUUAUGGAUUGCCCACCAAAGAUGUCAAUACCUAGAUCUAUCCUUGCUUUAAUGCCUAGCUAGGGGCGUUAAACGAUAGCGCUUGUUGGGAGGCAACCCAAUUUUAUUUUUAGUUUUUUGAUUUUUGCUUCUGUUUAGGAAUAAAUAUUUGAUCUAGCCUCUGGUUAGAUGUGUUUUUAUGUUUUAAUUAGUGUUUGUGCCAAGUUAAACCUAUAGGAUCUUGUUGGAUGAUAGUUAUUUGAUCAUGCUGUAAUUUCCAGAAACUUUCUGUUCACGAAAAUAAUUGUUAAAAAUCACCAGAACGUGAUAAAAUAUUGAUUCCAAUUGCUGCUGAUCAAUAAACAAAUUGUCUAGGUCUUCCUAUUUUGUCUGAUUUUGUGGAGUUCCAGAAGUUUGCGUUAGUUACAGAUUACUACAGACUGUUCUGUUUUUGACAGAUUCUGUUUUCCGUGUGUUGUUUGCUUAUUUUGAUGAAUCCAUGGCUAGUAAAAGAGUUUAUAAACCAUAGAGAAGUUGGAAUACAGUAGGUUUAACACCAAUAUAAAUAAUGAAUGAGUUCAUUACAGUACCUUGAAGUGGUCUUUUGUUUUCUUUCGCUAACGGAGCUCACGAGAUUUUCUGCUGAGUUUUGUGUUGUGAAGUUUUCAAGUUUUGGGUGAAAGAUUUGAUGGAUUAUGGAACAAGGAGUGGCAAGAGCCUAAGCUUGGGGAUGCCCAUGGCACCCCCAAGAUAAUCUAAGGACACCAAAAAUCCAAAGCUUGGGGAUGCCCCGGAAGGCAUCCCCUCUUUCGUCUACUUCCAUCGGUAACUUUACUUGGAGCUAUAUUUUUAUUCACCAUAUGAUAUGUGUUUUGCUUGGAGCGUCUUGUAUGAUUUGUGUCUUUGCUUUUUAGUUCAUCACAAUCAUCUUUGUUGUACACACCUUUUGAGAGAGACACACAUGAUUCGGAAAUUAUUAGAUUACUCUAUGUGCUUCACUUAUAUCUUUUGAGUUAUAUAGUUUUUGCUCUAGUGCUUCACUUAUAUCUUUUAGAGCACAGUGGUGGAUUUGUUUUAUAGAAACUAUUGUUCUCUCAUGCUUCACUUAGAUUAUUUUGAGAGUCCUACAAAAUAGCAUGUUAGUUUGCUUUAACAAUAAUAGGCAUACAAGAUUAGUAAAAGAAAAAUUCUUAUGAGUGUGUUGAAUACUAUGAGAAGUUUGAUAGUUGAUAAUUGUUUUGAGAUAUGAAGAUGGUGAUAUUAGAGUCAUGCUAGUUGAGUAGUUGUGAAUUUGAGAAAUACUUGUGUUAAAGUUUGUGAUUCCCGUAGCAUGCACGUAUGGUGAACCGUUAUGUGAUGAAGUCGGAGCAUGAUUUAUUUAUUGAUUGUCUUCCUUAUGAGUGGCGGUCGGGGACGAGCGAUGGUCUUUUCCUACCAAUCUAUCCCCCUAGGAGCAUGCGCGUAAUACUUUGCUUUGAUAACUUGUAGAUUUUUGCAAUAAGUAUAUGAGUUCUUUAUGACUAAUGUUGAGUCCAUGGAUUAUACGCACAUUUCCUCCUUCCACCAUUGCUAGCAUCUCUAAUACCGUGCACUUUUUGCCGGUAUCAUACACCCACCAUAUACCUUCCUCAAAACAGCCACCAUACCUACCUAUCAUGGCAUUUCCAUAGCCAUUCCGAGAUAUAUUGCCAUGCAACUUACCAUCGUUCUGUUUACUAUGACACGCUCCAUCAUUGUCAUAUUGCUUUGCAUGAUCAUGUAGUUGACAUUGUAUUUGUGGCAAAGCCACCGUUCAUAAUUCUUUCAUACAUGUCACUCUUGAUUCAUUGCAUAUCCCGGUACACCGCCAGAGGCAUUCAUAUAGAGUCAUAUUUUGUUCUAAGUAUCGAGUUGUAAUUGUUGAGUUGUAAGAAAAUAAAAGUGUGAUGAUCAUCAUUUUUAUAGCAUUGUCCCAAGUGAGGAAAGGAUGAUGGAGACUAUGAUUCCCCCACAAGUCGGGAUGAGACUCCGGACGAAAAAAAAAGAAAAGAAAAGAGGCCAUAAAAAAGAGAAAAAAGGCCCAAAUAAAAAAAUGAGAGAAAAAGAGAGAAGGGACAAUGUUACUAUCCUUUUACCACACUUGUGCUUCAAAGUAGCACCAUGAUCUUCAUGAUAGAGAGUCUCCUAUGAUAUCACUUUCAUAUACUAGUGGGAAUUUUUCAUUAUAGAACUUGGCUUGUAUAUUCCAAUGAUGGGCUUCCUCAAAAUGCCCUAGGUCUUCGUGAGCAAGCGAGUUGGAUGCACACCCACUUAGUUUCUUUCGUUGAGCUUUCAUAUACUUAUAGCUCUAGUGCAUCUGUUGCAUGGCAAUCCCUACUCACUCACAUUGAUAUCUAUUGAUGGGCAUCUCCAUAGCCAGUUGAUACGCCUAGUUCAUGUGAGACUAUCUUCUCCUUUUUGUCUUCUCCACAACCACCAUUCAAUUCCACAUAUAGUGCUAUGUCCAUGGCUCACGUUCAUGUAUUGCGUGAAGAUUGAAAAAGUUUGAGAACGUCAAAAGUAUGAAACAAUUGCUUGGCUUGUCAUCGGGGUUGUGCAUGAUUUAAAUAUUUUGUGUGGUGAAGAUAGAGCAUAGCCAGACUAUAUGAUUUUGUAGGGAUAACUUUCUUUGGCCAUGUUAUUUGGAGAAGACAUAAUUGCUUAGUUAGUAUGCUUAAAGUAUUAUUAUUUUUAUGUCAAUAUUGAACUUUUGUCUUGAAUCUUUCGGAUCUGAAUAUUCAUACCACAAUUAAGAAGAAUUACAUUGAAAUUAUGCAAGUAGCAUUCCGCAUCAAAAAUUCUGUUUUUAUCAUUUACCUACUCGAGGACGAGCAGGAAUUAAGCUUGGGGAUGCUUGAUACGUCUCCAACGUAUCUAUAACUUUUUAUUGCUCCAUGCUAUAUUAUCUUCUGUUUUGGACAUUAUUGGGCUUUAUUAUUCACUUGUAUAUUAUUUUUGGGACUAACCUAUUAACCGGAGGCCCAGCCCAGAAUUGUUGUUUUUUGCCUAUUUCAGAGUUUCGCAGAAAAAGAAUAUCAAACGGAGUCCAAAUGGAAUGAAACCUUCGGGAACGUGAUUUUUGGAACGAACAUGAUCCAGAGGACUUGGACCCUACGUCAAGAAAUCAAGCAGGAAGCCACGAGGUAGGGGGCGCGCCUACCCCCCUGGGCGCGCCCUCCACCCUCGUGGGCCCCACAUUGCUCCACCGACGUACUCCUUCCUCCUAUAUAUACCUACGUACCCCCAAACGGUCAGAUACGGAGCCAAAAACCUAAUUCCACCGCCGCAACCUUCUGUACCCACGAGAUCCCAUCUUGGGGCCUGUUCCGGAGCUCCGCCGGAGGUGGCAUCGAUCACAGAGGGCUUCUACAUCAACACCAUAGACACUCGGAUGAAGUGUGAGUAGUUUACCUCAGACCUUCGGGUCCAUAGUUACUAGCUAGAUGGCUUCUUCUCUCUUUUUGGAUCUCAAUACAAUGUUCUCCCCCUCUCUUGUGGAGAUCUAUUCGAUGUAAUCUUCUUUUGCGGUGUGUUUGUUGAGACCGAUGAAUUGUGUUUUAUGAUCAAGUUUAUCUAUGAACAAUAUUUGAAUCUUCUGAAUUCUUUUAUGUAUGAUUGGUUAUCUUUGCAAGUCUCUUCGAAUUAUCAGUUUGGUUUGGCCUACUAGAUUGAUCUUUCUUGCAAUGGGAGAAGUGCUUAGCUUUGGGUUCAAUCUUGCGGUGUCCUUUCCCAGUGACAGUAGGGGCAGCAAGGCACGUAUGUAUUGUUGCCAUCGAGGAUAACAAGAUGGGUUUUUUUUAAUCAUAUUGCAUGAAUUUAUCCCUCUACAUCAUGUCAUCUUGCUUAAAGCGUUACUCUGUUCUUAUGAACUUAAUACUCUAGAUGCAUGCUGGAUAGCGGUCGAUGUGUGGAGUAAUAGUAGUAGAUGCAGGUAGGAGUCGGUCUACUUGUCUCGGACGUGAUGCCUAUAUACAUUAUCAUACCUAGAUAUUCUCAUAACUAUGCUCAAUUCUGUCAAUUGCUCAACAGUAAUUUGUUCACUCACCGUAAAAUAUUUAUGCUCUUGAGAGAAGCCACUAGUGAAACCUAUGCCCCCGGGUCUAUCUUCCAUCAUAUUAAUCUUUCAACACUUAUCUAUUUCCGUUGCCUUUUAGUUUGUUUACUUUACUUUGCAUCUUUAUCACAAAAAUACCAAAAACAUUAUCUUAUCAUAUCUAUCAGAUCUCACUCUCGUAAGUCACCGUGUAGGGAUUGACAACCCCUUAUCGCGUUGGUUGCGAGGAUUUAUUUGUUUGUGUAGGUGCGAGGGACUCGCGCAUAGCCUCCUACUGGAUUGAUACCUUGGUUCUCAAAAACUGAGGGAAAUACUUACGCUACUUUGCUGCAUCACCCUUUCCUCUUCAAGGGAAAACCAACGCAGUGCUCAAGAGGUAGCAGGGAUGAUGACUUGUUUGAAAUAAAUGUUGAGUAUGAGAAAGGUAAAGCAGCCCAGGAAGAACCUGAUGAUCCUACUGAAGAUGGGGACAUGUAUUUGCUUGAUUAUGAUGAAGAUUAUGUGAAGCUGAAUUUCAAAUCUUUCAAAGAAUAAGACUUGAGUAAACCAAGCUUCCAAGUUGGUCAGACCUUUGGAAAUGUUCAAUUACUGAGGAAAUCAGUCAAACAGUACAGCUAUCAGGAAACAGUUGACAAUGGGUUUCCCAGAAAUGAUAGGAGAGACUGAAGACCAUCUAUGAAGAUGGGUGCCCUUGUUCUUUGUGUGCAUCAUUUGAUAGAAGAACCACUUGCUUCAUCAUAACGAAAUACAGCCCACAAUAUACCUGCAUAAAGAAAUGGAGUGUUAGGUCUUGCACUGCUCCCUUUAUGGCUCAAAAGUAUGUUGAUUCUUACAGAGCUGAUGAAAUCAUGAAGAUGAAGAACUUUUCAAGGGUAGUUCAGAAGGAUUGGAACAUGGUGGAAUCAAGGAGCAAACUGAGAAGGGCCAAGAGACUAGUGAAUCAAAGAAAGUUAUUUAAGGAGAUGAGUAAGAGUAGUACAAUAAUAUGUGGGAUUGUGCACGGGAAUUCAAAAGAUCAAACAAAGGCAACUCUUUCUUUGUGGAUGUCAAUGAUGGCAUAUUUGGAAAUUUUUGUUUCUCUCUGGAUGCCUGCAAAAGAGGUUUCAUGCAAUCCUACGGGCCUGUCAUAUGUUUAGAUGUCUGCCACUGAAAGACCAUGUAUGGAGGUGUUCUGUUGUGCCCUAUUGGGAUUGAUCCCAAUAAUUGCAUUUACCCUCUAGAAUUUGCGGUUGCGGAGGUUGAAAACACUGCCACAUGGAAAUGGUUUCUUUCAAAUCUGAAAUGUGACUUGCGAAUAAUUAACACAGAGCCAUGGACUAUAAUGUUAGAUAAACAAAAGGGGUUCAUCAAGGGAGUGAGACAGCACUUUCCUGAUGCAGAACACAUACACUAUGUGAGACAUAUAUGGCAAAAUUUUCAGCAAACACGCAAUGGAGAUGUACUUAAGAAUCGGCUAUGGAAGUGUGAAAGAAGCACAACAACACAACUAUGUGAUGCAAGCAUGGUGGAAUUGAGGCCAUCAACUUAGAGGCCUACACAUGGCUUGAGCAACUCCCACCAAACACUUGGGUUAGGGGGUUCCAAAGAGAUUUUCCCAAGUGUGAUAUCCUUGUGCACAACAAUUGUGUGGUUUUAAAUAAAUAUAUUCUUGAAGCUAGGGAGUUGCAUAUCAGAUCAAAACCCACCUCAUGGUCAGAUUGUACAAGAAAAGAAAAGAAAAGAGGCAGAACAUGGCCUGGCUCAAUAUGCAAGAAGCACAAGAACACAACUGUGGAAGUGGCCUCACGGGUGGAAUGCAUCACACCCAUCCUAACCGAUGUGCCCGCAGCGGUGCACGGCGAGUUUGAGCCUGCCACCCCUCUGCCCGUCUAGGAGCCCAUCAUCAUCUCGGACGACGAGUCCGGCGAGGUUCGGAUCAUUCUGAAGAACCCCAUCGCUCUGGCAGCUACUAAGGCAGCUGUUGUGGUCCAAGUGAAAGAAGAGGUUGUUCCUGUGGAAGAAGCGGUGAUCGUCAAGAAGGUGAAGAAGGAGCCUACUAUGUCCCUGAUGAUACUGAAGAAGGACUGAAGAAGAAGGGUUGAUCAAUGCAGAAGAAGUUGUAGCAGCUAGGUAUGUUGUUAUAUGAAUUUAGCAUAUAAGUUAGUAAGUAAUGCAUUUAGGUAUGUUGUAUAUAUUCUACAUUUAAGAUAUUGUAGUGUAAUGAUUUGAAGAUUUUUAGGUAUGCUUUAUAAGUCAGCAUAUAAGUUAAGUUAGCUUGGAUUAUAAACAUGCAAGUGAUGCAUGAACUAGAGAUGUUUACCAGCAGAUAUUUGUGUUAUAUGAUGCUAUCUCUGAUGUUUAUGGUAUAUGUUCAGUUAAGUUAUCUGUACUAUACUAUUUAUUCUCAAGAGAAGAACUUGCCAAAAAAGCCAUAAGACAAAAGAAGAAUCAUGGACUACUUUCCAAAAAUAGCAACUACCAAAAAUGUAACAUAUGCAAAAAAUUACCAAAUUGGUUGAUGUGAACUAUUUCAGUCAAACUGACUAAAUUUAGGUACAGUAAAAUUGAUUGUACCUAAAAUGACUGAAUUGACUUAACUUUCUUCACUGUUCACAUAAUUUGCAAAUUUCCAAAUUCACUGUGCUUUUUCAGUUAAAUUGACUGAAUUUAGGUACAAUUAAAUUUACUGUACCUAAAUUGACUGAACUUUCCAAACUGUUGGCAUUUUCUGAACUUGCAAAUUACCAAAUUGGCUGAACUUUUUUAGUUAAAUUGACUGAAUUUAGAUGCAAUUAAUUUGACUGUAACUAAAUUGACUGAACUAACUUAAUGGACUACAAUUGUUGAAUUUAGGCACACGAAUGACAACAUGAACAACAUACUUAAUCAAUACUACAAAUUUAUUACACAAGUCAAUCAAAUUAAGUGCUACAAUUUCUGACAGCGUUACAACAAGUACAACGAUAUAGCAUCACUCAAUUCAUCCAGGAUCCCCUUAAGCUUCCUUAUCUUUUCCUUAGUGUCCUACUUCUGUUUGAAUAGACUACCAAUCGCGUACUCAAGCUUCCUUUUCUCUUGCUUUAACACAUUCCUUUCUUCCAUCAAACUGUCCCUCUUUUGCAUCAUCUGGUCCCUCUCUUUUUCUCCCUUAGCCCUCAACACUUGAUGGAUGUUUGUGGCUGAUUUGUCAGCCAUGUUCUUCUUCUCAAGCUCUUGCUUUAGGUCAUGCGGAGCAAGCUGUGUGUUGCCUAAUUGGGCUAUUGCAUGCUCCUUUUCAGCCACCAUCUUAGCAAAAACAAGUUUAUAUGGCCUAAGCUCAUUUUCCAUAUUUUCUUCUCUCCCAGAAUCUUCUAAGUUUUCUUCAGCAUUCACUACAUUUUGUCCCAGUCUCUGUUUCGUCGCCUCAUCAUACAUGCUCCAGAUCCUAGCUAGACUCGUAUUCAAAGGGGCAAGCCAUUCAGGGUUAACCCACUCCAUAUAGUCGCAGUUAAGUCCUUCCUAUCAAGAAAGCAAAGUACAAAUCAACCUAAACUGGAAACUAUAUUCCUGUAACCAAACUGAACUUAACAGGCACAUUACGAAAACCAAAUAAUCUCAAAACACUUAGGCGCAUUGCAUUAACUUCCACCCCGUUUCUUGUUUCUUGACAUGAAUAAAGGAAUCAACCAAUAAGAGAUGUGAGACGUGUAUGCUUUCAAUGACUUGAGACUACCUAGCAUGGCAUGAAGUGGUCGGUUCAUUGCAUGCAAUGGUAUUAGCUAGCAAAUAAACAUUAAGUUCUCUCGUUUCCCCUCCGCCUUGGUCACAGUGCACAAACUAACAUGACUAAUGCACCGGUACAGAGGGAGUAUAGAGAAUAAUAAUAUAACUUUCUAAAUUGACUAAUUGCCUGAACUUUCUGAACUAUUGGCAUUUUAUGAACUUGCAAAUUACCAAAUUGGCUGAACUUUUUUGAACUUUCUCUGUUAAAUUGACUGAACUUAUUUAGUUAAAUUAUGUUUGCAGUUUGCAAAUUACCAAAUUGUGUCUAAACUAAAAUUUAUCAAAUUAAUUAAAGCACACAACUGCAGCACCAACAACAUAGUUAAUUUAUAAAAUUACACUAAAAUUGCACUACGCAUAGAUUCUAGUAUACUGAACUUACAAUUAAAUGGCACAUACAUGUCAAAUACUCAAAAAGAACUGAAAUGCCAAUUUUUUUACUAACCUUGUCUGCACAAGCUAGGAACCUCCAGCCACUAUCAACUGAUUCAAAUGCCAUGAGCUUCUAACAGAUAGAUCGGUGCUCACAUCUAGUAGGAAGAUCUAUAGCCCGGACUCUACAUUCCUUGCAGAAAAUGGUGUGUGGUGGCUAAAAGAAAAGCAAAUACCUUCAAUUGAGUUCUGACUAAAAUUCCUCCUUUCCCCCUGAAACCCUAGUUAUGUGAGAUAACUCCAGGACAGAGACUAACCUAGCUGGUCACAGAGUCAUCCUCAGACGAGAUGCAAAGAUCGUCCCACAAAACCAUCGGUGUGGUGCUGGAAGAGGAAAAAGAGGAAGAAGGGGAUCUGGUGGUGGAUAAGAGGAAAAAAGGGGAUCAAAGAAAAAAGUGGGGACCAAAACAUCACGUAGAGUGCAAAUUGUUGGGUGGCGGGGUGCUAAUUCCCUGCAAGUUCCUUGGUGCUAAUUUACCUCUUUCAGAAUGGUUGUUUAGUUUAGUUUCUGUUAUCUGAACAGCCUUUUUCAGUUAAGUUUAGUGUAGUUAUCUAAAACUUUUUCAGUUUAGUUAAGCUCAGUGGUCCACAAAUAAGUUUCUGAAGGUUUUCAAUGUAGUUAUGUUUAGUGGUCCAGUCAAACUUUAGUUAUCCAAUUUCCAAUGUUUUUUUGCGUUCGCGCUUCAGUUCCCAAAGGCAUCCACUACCUACUCGCAUUCACUCUUGGCGCACAUGGGUGGUAGUGCUGGAGUCUGAAAGACAAGGUCAUGCACUAAAUGGAGGAUGCCAAAACUGACGAUUGCACAAACUAUGGCAAGGGAUGUGGGGUGUGGCCUAUAUAAUGAAAUCAAAGAGAGUUACACUUUUGGAAUUUAUUAGUAAAAGGAGAGCUUACAAAAAAAGACGAAGUACUAUUACCUAGGGCCAUAUGUUGCUGCCACGACGAGCUUCCUAGUUAUGAAGGAGGUGGUGGACGUCCUGACGGUGCAAAGAGGGACAUGGAGGGAAUCGUGCUGCAUAUAGAAUCGCAACAUCCGAAGAGCGUGUAUAUGUAACAGUCACGUAAAUACCUCAUAGCUUAUCAUCAAGAUAUCUCAGGCCGUGUUCUAUUGCGGGAGAGGAUGCCGCCUCUCAACGUUGCACCUUAAAGUGGCAACCUCCUCCCGCACCUCGAUUGUCAAAUCACUCUAUAGAUGGAAAAUAUGGUUAAGGGUUACCUCCUCUCGCGCACUUUAUGGCUGAGAUUUCACGUGGUAUGAGAGCCAGUACGAGCUCUAGCUCUCGUACAAUACGUCAUCUUCUCCUCUAGAAGUUGUAUUACAUCUGAUCUUGGCCGGUACAAGGGUUGGUAUGAGCAUGUCUACUCGUACGAGACCCCGUCUUCUUCCCCUGAUAGAUCUGGUGCUGACGUUAUCGUACGGUACAAGCUCGGGUACCAGCGGACACUACGUCAUCUCCCCUGGAUUCUUCUGUUGGUCUGGCAAGGGUUGGUACAACUGCGAGUAUGAGCUCGCUCUCUUGUACUACACGUCAUAUUCUCCGCUGGAUAAUUUGGCGUUGCCUCUCCUCUUCGGUAUGAGCACUACCAUCUUCUUCACCGGAAACUUUGGCGCUGCCUCGCCUGGUGGGUACGAUCGCCCGUACAAGCGUGGUUGCUCGUACCGAGCUCCAUCUUUGGCUUUGGAUGCUCAAAACACCUAGUUUCUUUGAGGUUUUUUAUUGUUCCUAAGAGGUUUGUUCCAACUCUAAAAGGCAAAAAAUGACAGGAAAUAUGAGUGAAUUACAACACGAUUAUACCGGCGCUAAUACCUUUUUUCUCCAUCUCUUUUUCUUUUCUUUGUUGCGGCAUCUCUUUAUUUACACACACAAAACAAAGCAAAACUUACACUACCAUAUUUCCAUGGGCUGCCUCCCAUGAAGCGGUUUGUUUUCGGUCGUUUAGCUCAACCACAUUAAUGAUUACUUGUCACAGGGCAAACGAACACCCAAUCAAUAACUUCUUGCAUUCAACACAAUUCCGUCUCCAUUGUAGAUCUUGCUCUUCUUCUUCCUAGGAAAAUGUUUGACAAAUGGGUCUCGAGAAGGGAGGUCAAAUUGAACAUUUUCUUCAAGCACAUUGAUUAGCUUUAACUAUUCUAAAAAUGACCAUCUACCUAAUAUAAUAGGUGCAAUGUGAUCCUCAGGCAUAUCACAAAAAAGAAAAGAGAAAGUUUACGCUAGAAUUUUCUCAACGUGGCAUAGUUGACGCCAUCCAAAGUUUCGCCAUUCGCAGAAAAGAAGCAACAAGUAUGAAGUUACCACAAACACCUCGUAGUCGAUAGAAACAUUGUCUUCUACUAAAAGAACAUUGCCGAAAAGGCUGGAAUGAAUCCAAGAAAAUCCAAAAUGUUCUUUUGCAAUGAAUUUUGGCGACAUUAUCUGGGUGCUAGAUCGAGUGGUGAUGUAUAGUCGUACCGAGUGUAGCACUGCUAUAUGGCUACAGAGUGGACCACCUUGCAUUGAGGGACUUCUACAUCUCAAUUGUAACCUAUAAUUUUGGAAUAAAACUUCUUUUUACCCUGCAAAAUACUGUUGGAAGCUACUAGGUUUUUCUUUACCGAUGCGUGCGGCACUAUCUUUCAAGCAUGGUACAAAGUCUUAGUUUUGGCUUCUUUCCUCCUUGUCAGGGAUAUACCCCGCGGUAUGACCCGGCCAGACUUGGCGACUCACCAGAGACCCGACAGACAUUUGACGACUCACUGGAGAUCCGCCCGAUCCUCGGCGACCUAUUAGUGACCCGGCGGGCGGGUCAGACGGACGACAAGGCCCAAGGCCCAGUAGGCCGGUUCGUAAUAUGGUGGGCCGGUUUACGAGGAAAGACAUAAGAAAUAUUCUCGUACAAAGGAAGCAAGACUAGGACUCCACUUGUAAUAGAGUAAUCCUAAUCCUGCUAGGACUAGUCAUGUAACCCGCCCCUUCAACUUAUAUAAGGAGGGGUAGGGCUCCCCAAAGAGGGACAAGAAAACAAUCUAGAAGGCUAGACACAACUAAAAGGGAGCCGGCGUAUGCAGCAUCUCCUGAUGAGCAUAAUGAGAUCUAGCCACAAACAGCAUGUAGGGCUAUUACCGGACGAUGUUUUCCGGGGCCCGAAGCUGUCUAAAUCCUUGUCUUGUGUGUUGAUCUGUCCCGCAUCUCUCGUCCUGACCAACCCCUCUCAAGCUGUCACAUAGAUGCGUUGGCCUCACGACUAAGUCCUCACACUAGGACAUCUGUCGUGACAAUUCCACGACAGUUGGCGCCCACCGUGGGGCCUGCGCACGGUGGUGUUGAGUUCUUGGAGGGAUCUUUCCUAGGGUUCGAGAAGUUCGUAAUUAUCUAGCUCAACAAGAGCCGGCGUGGAAAAAUUCACAUCAACGAUGAGUUCAUCAGUCAAGUUUGACAAAGUGUUUUGCGGCGGCAGGUAUGAGAUUGAGAUUAUUUUAGGGUUAUAUGUUGUGCGGCCGCCUCACGCGCCAUGGUGAUCCGCCGAGUCCGAGAUCGAGACAUAUUUUUCAUGGUGUCGGCCUUGGGCGAGAUGUACGGCGCCCGAGAGAAAUCAACCGUGGCCACACCCUUUUUCUAAAGUGAAGGCCGAGUCAAAUCCAAGAAAAUCUCAAGUACUACUUUGACCCGGAAACGGAGCAGUCGCAACCUAGUCUCUGAGUUCGCCCUGAGGCGCCUGCAUCAGCCACCGCUGUUAAGAUUCCGCCGGCCGUCCCUGCAAGCAAAAAGAUGUAUCUGUGAUCAGCCCAAUUGCAGAUUGAUUCUGCUAAAAAAAAUCAUUGUACGCUGCUGCUGCAGCUGACCGUCAUCAGGACAAAACAGAAGAUUCCUGCUGCAACCGCUCAAUCUGAUCCGCCGAGUUGCGGCCGGAGUCGUACGCCUGGCAAGUAAAUUCAACAGGACCUCCAAAAAAAUUGUAUGUAUUGGUUCCAUGUACUGCCCCAAUGGCACAAAGACCAAGGUUUUUACUCUUACCACACACAAGGAAAACACCAGGAGGCUGAUUCAAAAACUAUGGAAGGAUGAGGCCAUGGACUCGGUCUCGCCUCUGUCUGUGUCCCUGAGCCGCCAGGCGCGCCUCUAAACUGCCGGACGGUGGCGGCCCCGCCUUACCAGCGUCUCUCGUCCCGACUAACCCCUCUGAAACUACCACAUAGAUGUGUUGGUCUCACGACUAAGUCCUCACACUAGGACAUCUGCCGUGACAAUUCCACGACAGUUGGCGCCCACCGUCUCUCCAACCCGCCGCUGAUCCAGCCGCACCUCGCCGCCAUCUACCUACUCAACUCGCCCCGCGACCCAGCUGCGUCAACUGUACUGAGCCGCCCUGAAGGUCCCGGCACGUCUCAAACUGUCCUCGUCGUGAGCCGCCUUCGCCGGCUUGCGAGUCACCUGUGACCGCUCCUUGCUUUGUCGAGCCGCCGGUCUCUGUUUCGCCUUGCCACCGCGAAAUUGCUGCCGUGACCUCACCCUGGCCGCCCUUCACCGACCGGCUGCCUCGCAUGUAUCUAUUCCAAAAUCACUGAUGGAGAGCCGCCCGUCUCUAUUGUUGCGCUCACAUCGCCACAGAUCUUUGAGAGCCGCCUCGCUUCUGCUAUAAUUUUAAACCGCCAGACCGCUUUGAAACGGCCACCGUCGAUCGAGCCGUCAAAUCGCCAAGUCGCCAAGACCAAGAUUUCCGAUGCAGCCAUCGACGUUGAACCGUCGACGUUGCGGCCAUCUUGAGCCACCGAGGACCGCGCCAAAGCCGCUGCCAUGGCUCACCUGUUUCUGAAACAUCAGGUGAUAUCUUUCUUUUGUAUUUCAUCAACGUGUUAAUCCGUGUGAGAACAACUACUCGGGCAUGUUGUUUCGCAAGACAAUUAUUCAUUAUAAAUGAGGCAUUAUACUGAGCAUGCGCCGGCAAUGUUCUGCACCGGUCUUUCUUCCGUGCCACGCUACCAUAAGAGCGGACAUACAUAAGUCGCCGUCCCUGUGGCCCGGUCUACAUCAACUUUACCCGUCUGCGAGGCUGACCACGCCUGCGAUUGACUUGAUUGUCCGCGCGGCUUACCGCGCCUGCGAUUAACUCGUCCGUCCGCACCGGCUUACAGCGCCGCGACCGACUCAUUUGUUGUCCGGACGAAUCAUGUGAUAUUCAUCUAAAUUUGUUUUAUUAACACAUAUUAUUUUUGUCAAAGAGCAGUUUAUCUUUGCCUUGAUCUGCAUUAUUGUUUAUGCAGGGCAGUCAUUCAUUGCAAGAGUGAUGGUCGUACCAAGAUGCUUGACCAAUAUAUGUGUCAACCGCCGAUUUUGCGGCCCAAUUUAAAUCAACAUGACGCGGCUGACUCGUCCGUCCGCGCCGGCUUACAACGCCGUGGCCGACUCAUCUGUCUAUAUCGCCUCUGAUGCUACGGUCGUCUUUACCGUCCGUCUCUCGUGGCCUGGUCUACAUCAAUACACCUGGUCGCGCAUGUCCACAUGAGCUAUUUAUUGAGUAUGAGCAAGUCACUGCUUGGGUAGCCCAGUUUUCUUCUAGCAAAUUGGAGGCAAAUUAUUAUCUGCCGCCAUCUGCACUAGAUGGCUCAAUGGGUAGGCGCACAAGUCGCCGCCACUACAGUUUAGUUAACUUCAAACAACCAGUUCGAAGGAACCAUUGGCCGAGUUGCUGACACAGCUCAUACGGGUUCAUUUAUAACCCGCCGCAGUCACCUCAACCUUCUCUGGAUUUGCAUCGCGCUAUCAACACCAAUGAUAUACACUUCAUGCUAUGGUCAGAAUAUGAAGAAUCUUGAGCCAACUCUUUGAGUCGUCUUAAGACUCAGGGGCUAUGAUGACAUGACUCAACAAAUAUUGUCAGUUUCAGCAAAAAUCAAGAACCACGGGUCAUUGGAGGGAAAAUAACCCGGUCCCGCAGGCAACUGCUGCAUUGAUUUACAGGCCGUCAGAAACUUUCCGGCUUAAAAAGGUGCCUGGCAAACCAAAAUUUCCGGCUCAGUGGAAGAGUUCCGGGUUAUCAAAAGAAUAUCCGGUUUAAAAUCCGGCUCAAGAGACAUCUCUCUCCUACAAAGCUUUGAAGUUUUCAAUAUCCGGUUUAAAGUCCCGGUUUAAAAGAAUCAAUCUCUCGCAAGCUUGAGUUCUAAGAAAAAUUAAAAGUUGGCAAAGAGAACUUACUGCCAUGAUGCACGGUUCAAACAUGGGUAUCCUGCCUUAUGGGCUUAUCUUAUUAUGGUCAUUCGGGGGCUUCCUGUUCAAACAUAGGUCGUAUUCGAACCAAAGAGAACAUAGCUGUCGGUACCCUCUUGAUCGGCACAAUGCCAAACUCACUAGGGGGCUUCUUGAUCGUAUUCGAAUCAUAGCUUAACCCCUUUUGGGUCCGACUUCGAUCGUAUUUGAAUCAGAGUCAUUAAAAAACCCUCAAGGUCAUUUAGGGGCUUCCUGUUCAAACAUAGGUCGUAUUCGAACCAAAGUGAACAUAGCUGUCGGUACCCUCUUGAUCGGCGCAAUGCCAAAGCCACUGGGGGCUACAUGAUCGUAUUCGAAUCCUAGCUUAACCCCUUUGGAACGGUUUACUGAUCGUAUUCAAAUCAGAAGCCUCGCUUUUCUCUCUCUGUUUUACUUAACUUUUUGAAAAAACAAUCUUUGGGUUUGUCUUGAGACUUUUUUGUUCAUAUCUAAGGCAUAUAUAUAUAUAUAUAUAUCUAUAUAUAUAUAUAUGUGUGUGUGUGUGUGUGUGUGUGGUUUCUAUUUAACCCGGCUUGGCUUUGGACGAUAAGUCGCCAGCAUAUGACAAUCAUCAAACAUUUGGAAGUUUUGGCUUCUAAAGAUCGGGUUAUCACCCUUACUGCACAGGUAUCAUAAACCGGCAGUACAAUUCAAUAUCACAGGUAUGAUAUUGUUUAUACAUGAUUAUGUUUAAACCGGCCCUGGCUAUGGACUUUAAGUCGCCAGUCUAUUUUGGAUUGCGCCAUUCGAAUCAUGCGCUUAUCAAUCAUUGGAUUAUUGCCUUUAUUGGAUACGACGAUGUAAGCUGGCAGUAUGAGCCAAUUUCUACAGGUAUGUUUUCCUGAUUAUAUAAAAAUGCGAGGUUGGAUAGCCCGCCCUGGCUUUUGACGUUAAGUCGUCAGUAUGUUUAGGCUUGAAUGGCCUUAAUCCUAGUCUUUUCCAUAAUUGCAUAAAGACUAUAUUAUGUUUGGGUUGUUACCCGCCCUGGCUGUGACGUUAAGUUGCCAGGGCAUAUGUUGUUUAAACUCUGUGCAGGAUUUGCAGAAAUAUGACUUAUAUAAAUGAUUAAGUUCAAGCUCAAUAUCAAAAUUGAUGCUUCAAAAUGAUUAUCUGUUCUGGAUUUUCUCAAAGGCUAUAAGCCGCCGGGUUAUAAAAAUUCCGGCAUACAAUGGAGGCGUAUUAAAUCGCCAUCGGCCAAGAGCCGCCGGGUAUUUAAACUCCGAAUUUACUUGUCAACAGAUAAGGUAUUCAAAGUCGCUUUGGCGCAAUGGCUAUUAUUUAUCAAUGGAUAUGAUUUAUUCUACAGUGGAAAGAAUAGUCCCGAGUCGCUGCAGGCUUACGACCCGACACUUGGGGGUACAUUAUUCAAAUUGAGAUUACAUCAAAUAUGCAAGUCCCAGGUCACUGCCAGCAUGCACCAUGGCACUUGGGGGCUAAUGUAAGUCAUUUUUUGAUCAACUUAUUGAAGACCCGACUCAUCCCAUUUAAUGAGCCGGCCCUUGGGGCUACCAGUUGGUCCUGUUACAAAUUCAAGGUACACGAUUUAAAUCCAUUAUAUUGAAAAGGUCUACUACUCGGUUGAUAGAGUACAAAGCUCUUAACCUUGUGGACAUGGGUUCAAGCCCCAUGGUGGAGAGUACAUCAUAUGAUGUUAUUAUCAAUGAAUUAUAUACAAAAGUCCCUGCUCAUUAUUGCAUAAUGACCCGGCCCUUGGGGGCUACACUGGUUGAAGUUUUUAUGAGCAUCAGGCAAUUACAAGUCCCAGGUUGCUGCAAGCAUGACAACCCGGCACUUGGGGGCUACAGGUGAUAUACAUAUAAGGGAGAAAAAUCUUCAAAUUCUUAGUUUUGAGCAGACCAGAUUGACCCGGUGUUUGCAACAAUCAUGACCCAGUGUCACCAAUAAUUAUGACCCGGCGUCGGCAACAGUUAUGACCCGGUGCUAUCAAUAUUUACAAGCCGGCAAUUUUGGCAAUUAUAACUCGUCAGCCUCUACAUCUUUAAAACCGGCGGAUCACCAGAUGAAUCUUGAGUCCAAUAUGUUUAUUAAGCCGGAGCUUUGGAAACCGACUCAAAUGGAUUAUUUCUUAUAAUAUUUCUCUACAAGAAACUAAUGUCAGCAAAUUGAUUAUGACGUUGGUCUAUUGACCCGGAUUUUUCAGAAGAAGUAUCUGGAUUUUCUGCAUUGAUAAAGUUGAAACAUAUCUGCUAAGGAAGAUUUGCUAUGAGAUCAUGGACAUGUAUAUAUCAACAAGGAAAUGACAAGGACUUAACGAUGAUCAAAUGCCGGCUCAAAAGAACCUUCGACCCGGCAUAUUAUCUAUCAAAGUUGGUCUUGUUUUGCAGGACAAGUUUAACAUGGAUAAAUCCAAAUUAAACUGGGGGCUAAUGUCGGGGAUAUACCCCGCGGUAUGACCCGGCCGGACUUGGCGACUCACCAGAGACCCGACAGACAUUUGACGACUCACUGGAGACCCGCCCGGUCCUCGGCGACCUAUUAGUGACCCGGCGGGCGGGUCAGACGGACGACAAGGCCCAAGGCCCAGUAGGCCAGUUCGUAAUAUGGUGGGCCGGUUUACGAGGAAAGACAUAAGGAAUAUUCUCCUACAAAGGAAGCAAGACUAGGACUCCACUUGUAAUAGAGUAAUCCUAAUCCUGCUAGGACUAGUCAUGUAACCCGCCCCUUCAACUUAUAUAAGGAGGGGUAGGGCUCCCCAAAGAGGGACAAGGAAACAAUCUCGAAGGCUAGACACAACUAAAAGGGAGCCGGCGUAUGCGGUGUCUCCCUGAUGAGCAUAAUGAGAUCUAGCCACAAACAGCAUGUAGGGCUAUUACCAGACGAUGUUUCCCGGGGCCCGAAGCUGUCUAAAUCCUUGUCUUGUGUGUUGAUCCGUCCCGCGUCUCUCGUCCCGACCAACCCCUCUCAAGCUACCACAUAGAUGCGUUGGCCUCACGACUAAGUCCUUACACUAGGACAUCUGCCGUGACAAUUCCACGACACUCCUCGACAAGAAAGACCAUAGGCUUUCCUUCUCCCCCCAUCGGCGCUGCCGCCGGUCCAUCCCAUCUACAAUAUCCUUUGGGCCAUGGAGGGGUGGAGGACCUCGGCCCCACACUCGCAGGAGGGACCCUCCUCUCGUUCUUGUAAGGUUCAACAUCCUGAUGGUGCGUCUGGCGUUGUUAGAGGGCGUGUGGAGGUGUGUCUCCAUCGGAUCUCGUGGGAUUCAUUGGUACUGGUCUUUGGUGGUUCCAUUUGGAUCCGGUCUUUGUUUGGUUGUUUACAAGUUUGUUGCUUCUAAUCUACGAUUUUCUUCAUCAACGAUGGUUGCCGCUCUGGUGUGCUGGUCCUAUGGGGUCUUAGCAUGAUGACUUCCUAACUAGCUAAUAUAACAAAGUUUGUCCGGCUCUGGUAAGAAGGGGCGAUGAUGGCGGCGCGUUUUCGGCUCGCUCCAGUGCUUGUAGUCGUUGUUAGGUGGUCCACUGACCUGGUUGUAAUUUUUGUUACCUCUUCUGUUCUUUGUACUUUCAUAAUUGAUUAUGAAUAAAUCAGAACUUUCUUCCAUGAAAAGAAAGUAUCCCCUCCGUUUGAAUAACAAGUAAUUUCAGACGGAGGGAGUAUCUAUUUCCGUUCUUCUUAAUAGAGCUGUAUAUUUAGAGUCAUGCAAACAUUGUGAAUUCAAUGGCUUUACGUGCACGUACGCUAAGCGCAACAAAGCUAUUGGGUUCGUUGACUAUUUUUUCGAAGAAUUAGCAGAAGCUCUGGCGCCACAGUUCAAAAAAGGUACUACAGAGCUAGCUCCAUUGACAAAUUCGUUGCAUUCUUCCCGUUCCACCCGGGGCCAGCAAUCAUACAUCAACCAUUGAGAGAUCGAGUAUAUAUGCAGGUAAUCUGUAUACAUGUAUUGUAGAUUUGUGUCACAUCAUUCGGGCAAGCAUAUGGCUUCACUGAAUUAGGGGACCGACUGCAAUAGAAUCACCCGCAACAAAACAGUUGCUGCAUCUCGCCAUUACGAUUAGACAACACCUUUUAAGAAAUUAAUUCAGUUCGAUCUAACCGCCAGAAAACACAGUUAAAACAGUACAGUACACAAACACAAAUGAUGCUACAAACAGUUGUACACUGCAACUUAGCACCAAAACUGGAGCAGACUAGAUGAGCUAAGUAGACUAAACCACAGAGACUUAGGCACUACGACAUCAUCAGUGACUUGAGCGACCGGGCUUUCACAGGCUUCCUCCACCUCUUCUUGAACGGGCCCUUCCU